rnacentral:rRNA from 1 species
GAUAAACGCUGGCGGCGUGCCUAACACAUGCAAGUCGAACGAUCCCGCAAGGGAGAGUGGCGGAAGGGUGAGUAACACGUGGGAAUCUACCUCCUCGCAGGGAACAACCUCUCGAAAGAGAGGCUAAUACCCAAAAGGGUCAGAAAUGAUCAGAGUCGAAAGGCGUGAGGAGAGGAGCCCGCGGCCCAUCAGCUAGUUGGUGAGGUAAUGGCUUACCAAGGCUACGACGGGUAGGGGAUCUGAGAGGAUGUCCCCCACACUGGAACCGAAACACGGUCCAGACGCCUACGGGUGGCAGCAGUGAGGAAUAUUGGACAAUGGGCGAAAGCCCGAUCCAGCAACGCCGCGUGGAGGAUGAAGGCCUUCGGGUCGUAAACUUCUUUAGAGGGAGACGAGAAAGGACGGUAUCCCUAGAAUAAGCGACGGCAAACUACGUGCCAGCAGCCGCGGUAA